GAGUUUGAUCCUGGCUCAGGACGAACGCUGGCGGCGUGCUUAACACAUGCAAGUCGAACGGUGAUGAGGAGCUUGCUUCUCUGAUCAGUGGCGAACGGGUGAGUAACACGUGAGUAACCUGCCCCUGACUCUGGGAUAAGCACUGGAAACGGUGUCUAAUACCGGAUACGAGCUUCAGCCGCAUGGCUAGGAGUUGGAAAGAAUUUCGGUUGGGGAUGGACUCGCGGCCUAUCAGCUAGUUGGUGAGGUAAUGGCUCACCAAGGCGACGACGGGUAGCCGGCCUGAGAGGGUGACCGGCCACACUGGGACUGAGACACGGCCCAGACUCCUACGGGAGGCAGCAGUGGGGAAUAUUGCACAAUGGGCGAAAGCCUGAUGCAGCAACGCCGCGUGAGGGACGACGGCCUCGGUU
rnacentral:rRNA from 1 species